CAUUUUUUAUGUUUUCUGUAAAUUUCAAACCAUUUUGUUUGACCCAAAUCCCUAACCCGUAACCCCAAAGUCCCACCCCCCUCAUCACUCUCACACUCUCUCUCUCUCUCUCUCUCUCUCACUCCGACGCCGCGCACGUUUCUCUCUCCGGCAGUAUUUCACAAGGUAUCUGGUUUGACUGUCGUUUUCACAGUGCGGGGCAGCUCUCCACAUGCCUCCCCCUUAUUCAAUUGUUAUUCAGGUAAUAUGAGCUUAUACAUUGGCAUAAGAACCCUGAAGAUCUAAAGAACAGGCAUUUCUAAUAUCCUUACAAAUAGAUGUAGGUUAUUUCUUUCUAAUAUCCUUUCUGCUGGGGAUCGAUCAGAAA